CUCUCUUCUUUUCUUCUUCAUUCUUCUUCUUUCUCUUUUUCUUCUUCUCUUCUGCUUCUGUUUCUGAGUUCUGAUUCAGAGGCCGCGUCAUCGGAAGAAAGUUAAGGGAAACUUUAAGGUUUGGUUAUUAGUGAUGGGGUUGAUGUUAUUUGAGUCGGGAUGAAGAGGAUAGUGUUGAUGUCGUAAUUGAAAUUAGGGUUUGGAGAUUUAGGUUUGGUUUUAAUUGGAUUUGAUUAGUAAUUGAGUUAUUAACAGUUAUGAGAUGAAGGGGAUGAUGUUUAAUUGAAGUUGCAGAGUCGCUCUGGUGAUUGAAUCCAGAGUUAGGGUUUGUAAGAAAUUCAGAGAAGCUUUAGAAGAUGAAGCUGAUGUUUAAGAAAGGUGAUUUGAAGAUGGGUAUUGCGUUAAUUUAACAGUUUAGGUGUUGAGUUGAUAAAUCAGUGAAUUAGGAUUUAUGGGGAGAGUCAUGGAAGAUGAAAUUGAAGGUUUAGAAGAUCAAUUGGAGGUGGAUUUAACUCGAACUAAGAGUUAAGGUUGAAGUAUAACUUGAGUUUGGAAGACAGGGUUUUGAAUUUGAAGUUGAGGUUCUUGUUAUGAAACCAGGGUUUUAUAUUCUGUUUCAAAUGAUGAAUCAAGGUUCAUGGAUUGAAUAUUAGCUCAAGGAGUUGGAAUUUGUGAAGAGGAAUUAAAAUAGGAAGUUCCCUGAUUCAGAUUAAGGCAGAGAAGAAUUUGAUCCUAAACUGAUUAGGGGAGAAACCAUUUCAAGGUAAUUGUUCUUCUUAGUUCAGUUAGUAAUACUUAUAUGUUUCCAAUUUGAGUUCAUGGAUUUUGAGAUGCUGAACUUGGAAUUGUUGAUACACAUGGAGUUGUAUUGAUUUGUGGUUAACUGAACAAGAGAAUUGUGUUGGUGAAUUGUAUAAGUUACAGUUGAGAAUACAGAUUGUUUUAGUGGUUGAAUUAGAUUGAGAUAGGGAUGUGGUUUUGUUUGAAGAUGUCUGUUAUUGUAUGUUGUUGAAAAAGUGGUUGAUUAUCGAGGCCCUGAUUGAAUGGCAAUGCUGGUUUGAGUGGUAAGGGUAAUUGAAGUUUGAUUGUAAAUCUCAAGCGGAGUCUGGUGGUAUUUUAUUGCGGUGUCAGUUAGGUAAUGAUGUUAUUGAAGAUGCGGGGAAUAAAAAGUUGUAGUGAAGUAAGAAGGGUUAUGGAUGCACAAGUUGAGUUGAGAUGUUAGAUGAAUGUUAGGCUAAGACUUGGGUAUGGUGUUGGUGUAACUGGUGGUGAUUCAGUUGGGCGGGAUGUGUUGCUUAUGUUGAUUUUAGAUAUGGCUUGGUACUGCAAUGGCAGGUAAAGCUUAAAUUACAAUUGUAUAUUGAAUUAUGGGAUUCUGUUGAAAUGAAUGUAUUGUUGAAGUGUAGAUAAGAAGAAGAAUCUGAAUUAGUAUGUUGAAUUGAAUCUCCUCAGUGGAAGCUUGCAACUGCAUUUGCAGUUAGCCUAUAUUAACGACGAUCGGUUCAAAGGACGAACCAAUGGAUCGUGGAUCUCGAGGUAGGCGUGGCUUGUGAUCAAAAGAGUUUCAGUGACAGAUUCAGAGUAGCGCAGCGAAAGCUUCAAGGAUUGAGUUCAUUAUUUGAUUAACUUCGGAUAUGUUUGUUAUGUUGUAUUUUUUAUUUGUAAAACAAAUGACUGUUAUAUAUGUAUCAUUUGAGAGGAGUUCUUGUUUAUGUAUAUUCCAGAACGGGGUUAGUUUUUGGGUUAACUUUUGUAGCAGUUUUCUUAAUUGAAUGUUUAAGUAAAUGAUUUAGAUUCUUA